rnacentral:rRNA from 1 species
CCGGCGACCGGCGCACGGGUGAGUAACACGUAUGCAACCUGCCCUCUUCAGGGGGACAACCUUCCGAAAGGGAGGCUAAUCCCGCGUAUAUCGGUUUCGGGCAUCCGAGAUCGAGGGAAGAUUCAUCGGAAGAGGAUGGGCAUGCGGCGCAUUAGCUAGACGGCGGGGUAACGGCCCACCGUGGCGACGAUGCGUAGGGGUUCUGGGAGGAAGGUCCCCCACACUGGUACUGAGGCACGGACCAGACUCCUACGGGAGGCAGCAG